rnacentral:rRNA from 1 species
UACAGAGGGUGCAAGCGUUAUUCGGAAUUAUUGGGCGUAAAGCGCACGCAGGCGGUUUAAUAAGUUGGAUGUGAAAUCCCCGGGCUCAACCUGGGAAUUGCAUUCAAAACUGUUAGUCUAGAGUACAGUAGAGGGGAGUGGAAUUCCCGGUGUAGCGGUGAAAUGCGUAGAUAUCGGAAGGAACAUCAGUGGCGAAGGCGGCUCCCUGGACUGAUACUGACGCUCAGGUGCGAAAGCGUGGGGAGCAAACAGG